rnacentral:lncRNA from 1 species
UCAUUUGUCUUCCCAGGGAUUUUGUCAGAGGAUCCGCUAGAUUCCAUUCUGACUUCACAUAAUCAAUGGAAAUAGUUCCACUCUUUAGCAGCUGCUUCACCAAAUUGGUGUCUCAAUUGUACAUGUCUAUUCUUUCCAUUGUAAUUCUUCUUUUUAGCUAUAGCUAUUGCCGAUUGGCAAUCACAGUGUAUUGAUACUAAUGGGGUAUUGGUUUCAUUCCUAGUAGAAUGUUUGCUAAGUAGUUUUUCAACCACGCAGCC